UUCGAGGAGGGGUUUUCUGUCUCUAAUCGCUCUCGCUCCCCAUUUCGCUUGGAGGCGGCGACGGCGAGAGCCGAGAGAAGAUGGCGGCGCGGGGGCAGAAGGCGGUGGCGGCGCUGCCGCAUCUGGUGAAAUCGCUGCGCAGCGAGCCCGUCUCCAACGCCCCGAGGCUCCGGCACCUCCCGUCCCUCAGGAGGACCUUCUCUCUCUACGAUCAGAUCAACCUCAUCGACAGCGUCCCCGAAGACCAGCUCCGCUUCCAAUCAUAUGAUGACACUGGAUUCAAUAUUAACAAAGUAAAGUAUGAAUGAAGCUUGUUGAUAGUCAAAAACAAGAUAAUGACAUGGGCACCCAAAACAUUUGCAGAGAUAACAGCUGAAAGUUAUUCAAUAAUACAGUUUAUCAAUCCUAUCCCAGAGAUUCUGAUUCUUGGUUGUGGUAGACACAUCCAACCGAUCAGUCCUGAGCUCCACAAAUUCAUUCAGUCAACUGGAAUGAAACUGGAAGCAGUUGAUUCGAGGAAUGCGGCUUCAACAUAUAACAUUCUGAAUGAAGAGGGAAGGCCAGUUGCGGCUGCACUUCUUCCUUGCGGAGUCACUUCUUGAAACACGAGUGUUAUAUUUGUGGUGGUGAGCAUCUUCUCUUUCCAGUCGAUACUCGAUAGAGCUGAAAUGAAGCAUAUUUGUUGAAUGGGAACACUGAAAAUCUGUAACAUGAACAAGUGCCGUUGCCCUGUCCUUUUCCUUUUCCCCACACAAGUACCCAACCCCCUAGGAGAGAUCACACCUUUGGUUUUGUGGGUUAUUCUCUUGUAAUCGCGGGAGGACAAGGUUUUUGACCUAGUAGUAUACAUCAGAAUAACGAGUCUGAAACAAGUUGAUUGUCUUAUAUAACAUCACCCUCGGUUUUUUACUACUACUACUUCACUUGUGUUGUCA